CAGAGAUCAUGCCCUCACGGGUAGACCUCCCACCCUGUGUUAUUUACUAUUGUUGCUUUGGCAGGCCGCCCUCGGGCUCUCGGCUUCGGCUGGGAUGCGCUUGCCAGAGGACCCCAACUCUGUGUUUAGUGUCGUCUGAGUACUAUAUAAUAAGUUA
rnacentral:misc_RNA from 1 species